AUUGAACGCUGGCGGCAGGCUUAACACAUGCAAGUCGAGCGAGCGGCGGACGGGUGAGUAAUGUCUGGGAAACUGCCUGAUGGAGGGGGAUAACUACUGGAAACGGUAGCUAAUACCGCAUACCAUCAGAUGUGCCCCGAUGGGAUUAGCUAGUAGGUGGGGUAAUGGCUCACCUAGGCCACGAGCCCUAGCUGGGCUGAGAGGAUGACCAGCCCCACUGAAACGGAAAAAUGGUCCAGACUCCGACGGGAGGCAGCAGUGGGGAAUAUUGGACAAUGGGCGAAAGCCUGAUGCAGCCAUGCCGCGUGUGUGAAGAAGGCCUUCGGGUUGUAAAGAACUUUCAGCGAGGAGGCGUUACUCGCAGAAGAAGCACCGGCUAACUCCGUGCCAGCAGCCGCGGUAAUUC
rnacentral:rRNA from 1 species